AGGAUGGUCCACCUCCAUUGUCUCCAAGUGGUAAUUUGAUCCACAGGUCGUCACUCAGUGAAGCUAUGAGCAAAGAAAUGGAAGAACUGAGAAAAGAAAAUGAUUCUUUGAGAAAUGUCAUUAAGAUGUAUAAAGAAAAUGAAAAAGCUGUUGAUGAAUUAAGGAAGUUUUAUUCUGCUCAAGCAGUUAAACACAAGGAAAAUAUGGAACAGGCUGUCAACCACAAGGUAAACCUG